rnacentral:misc_RNA from 1 species
GCAAGUAAAAGUCGUAACAAGGUCUCCGUUGGUGAACCAGCGGAGGGAUCAUUACAGGACUCGCAAGACUCCUACAACCCUGUGAACUUAACUAUAAGCACGUUGCUUCGGCGGGUGUCUCGGAGGGGGUUCUCCCUCCCCGAGACGCUAAACCCGCCGGCAGCCUACUAUACUCUGUCUCUUUGCGUUGGCAUCUCGAGUACAAUCAAACAAGUUAAAACUUUCAACAACGGAUCUCUUGGUUCUG